rnacentral:rRNA from 1 species
CGAGGGGAAUUGAAACAUCUUAGUACCCUCAGGAAAAGAAAUCAAUAGAGAUUGCGUCAGUAGCGGCGAGCGAAAGCGCAAGAGGGCAAACCCAGUGCUUGCACUGGGGGUUGUAGGACUGCAAUGUGCAAGAGGUAAGUUUAGCAGAACAUUCUGGAAAGUAUAACCAUAGAGGGUGAUAGUCCCGUAUGCGAAAAACAAACCUUAGCUAGCAGUAUCCUGAGUAGGGCGGGACACGAGGAAUCCUGUCUGAAUCCGGGUCGACCACGAUCCAACCCUAAAUACUAAUACCAGAUCGAUAGUGCACAAGUACCGUGAGGGAAAGGUGAAAAGAACUGAGGUGAUCAGAGUGAAAUAGAACCUGAAACCAUUUGCUUACAAUCAUUCAGAGCCCUAUGUAGGAAUACAGGGUGAUGGACUGCCUUUUGCAUAAUGAGCCUGCGAGUUGUGGUGUCUGGCAAGGUUAAGCAAACGCGAAGCCGUAGCGAAAGCGAGUCUGAAUAGGGCGCUUAGUCAGAUGCUGCAGACCCGAAACGAAGUGAUCUAUCCAUGAGCAAGUUGAAGCUAGUGUAAGAACUAGUGGAGGACUGAACCCAUAGGCGUUGAAAAGCCCCGGGAUGACUUGUGGAUAGGGGUGAAAGGCCAAUCAAACUUCGUGAUAGCUGGUUCUCUCCGAAAUAUAUUUAGGUAUAGCGUUGUGUCGUAAUAUAAGGGGGUAGAGCACUGAAUGGGCUAGGGCAUACACCAAUGUACCAAACCCUAUCAAACUCCGAAUACCUUAUAUGUAAUCACAGCAGUCAGGCGGCGAGUGAUAAAAUCCGUCGUCAAGAGGGAAACAACCCAGACUACCAGCUAAGGUCCCUAAAUCUUACUUAAGUGGAAAACGAUGUGAAGUUACUUAAACAACCAGGAGGUUGGCUUAGAAGCAGCCAUCCUUUAAAGAAAGCGUAAUAGCUCACUGGUCUAGUGAUUUUGCGCGGAAAAUAUAACGGGGCUAAAGUAAGUACCGAAGCUGUAGACUUGCACACAACUUAGAUUAUUUAAGUUUAGAAUAUGAGAAACUAAGUUAUAUGUUUAGUUAUAUUUUUACUGAUUUUUAUAGAGUAAAGAUAGAAAUAAAACUUAGUAAAAUCAGUAAAAAUAUUCUUAGACUAAAGUUAAGUAGUUUAAGUUGUGUGCAAGUGGUAGGAGAGCGUUCUAUUUGCGUCGAAGGUAUACCGGUAAGGAG